GGGAUUUUUCACCUUUAUUUUUGGUUGGGCGCCUAGCAUGUAACAGCUGAACCAUCUCUGCAGCCCAACUUUGUUUAUUAUUAUGUGAGAGCACGUGUCAGAGACAACCUAGUGGAGACAGUUCUCCAUCCACCUUCCCUUGGGCUCCGGGUUUGAGCUCAGGUCAUCAGCUUCAUCAAAACUGCUUUAUCCUCUGAGCCCUCUCAGGAAGGCUUCUCACCCGGUGGCUCUAGAUCUUCUUGAUUAUUAGUUCCUAAAUAACACAUUAUAAUAACUAUUUUUAUGUAGUGUUGACAUUGUAUCAGGUAUAAGCCAUCUGGAGAGGGCUUAUUAUAUGCUGGAAGGAGGCUGGAUAUAGCUUAGUGGUAGAGCAUUUGCCUGGCUUGAGUGAAACCCUGGGUUCCAUACACAGCACCAAAAAGAAAGAUAGAGAAAGAAAGAUCAGGUAGGAGGGAAGGAACGAGGCCAGGCACGGUGGCACAUACAGGAAGUGGAAGCAGGAGAAUUAAGAGUUUGAAGCUAACCUGGGUUAUAUAGCAAGACCUAUCUUAAGGAAGAAAAAAAAAAAAA
rnacentral:lncRNA from 1 species